GACGGGUGAGUAACACGUGAGCAACCUGCCUUUCAGAGGGGGAUAACGGCUGGAAACGGUCGCUAAUACCGCAUGAAGUGUUCGGAUGGCAUCAUCUGAACAUCAAAGAUUUAUCGCUGAAAGAUGGGCUCGCGUCUGAUUAGAUAGUUGGUGGGGUAACGGCCUACCAAGUCUACGAUCAGUAGCCGGACUGAGAGGUUGAACGGCCACAUUGGGACUGAGAUACGGCCCAGACUCCUACGGGAGGCAGCAGUGGGGAAUAUUGCACAAUGGGGGAAACCCUGAUGCAGCAACGCCGCGUGAAGGAUGACGGUUUUCGGAUUGUAAACUUCUUUUCUUAGUGACGAAGACAGUGACGGUAGCUAAGGAAUAAGCAUCGGCUAACUACGUGCCAGCAGCCGCGGUAAUACGUAGGAUGCAAGCGUUAUCCGGAUUUACUGGGUGUAAAGGGAGCGCAGGCGGGACUGCAAGUUGGAUGUGAAAUACCGUGGCUUAACCACGGAACUGCAUCCAAAACUGUAGUUCUUGAGUGAAGUAGAGGCAAGCGGAAUUCCGAGUGUAGCGGUGAAAUGCGUAGAUAUUCGGAGGAACACCAGUGGCGAAGGCGGCUUGCUGGGCUUUAACUGACGCUGAGGCUCGAAAGUGUGGGGAGCAAACAGGAUUAGAUACCCUGGUAGUCCACACUGUAAACGAUGAUAGCUAGGUGUGGGGGGUCUGACCCCUUCCGUGCCGGAGUUAACGCAAUAAGCAAUCCACCUGGGGAGUACGGCCGCAAGGUUGAAACUCAAAGGAA
rnacentral:rRNA from 1 species